GUGGGUAACCUGCCUGUAAGACUGGGAUAACUCCGGGAAACCGGAGCUAAUACCGGAUAGUUCCUUGAACCGCAUGGUUCAAGGAUGAAAGACGGUUUCGGCUGUCACUUACAGAUGGACCCGCGGCGCAUUAGCUAGUUGGUGAGGUAACGGCUCACCAAGGCGACGAUGCGUAGCCGACCUGAGAGGGUGAUCGGCCACACUGGGACUGAGACACGGCCCAGACUCCUACGGGAGGCAGCAGUAGGGAAUCUUCCGCAAUGGACGAAAGUCUGACGGAGCAACGCCGCGUGAGUGAUGAAGGUUUUCGGAUCGUAAAGCUCUGUUGUUAGGGAAGAACAAGUGCAAGAGUAACUGCUUGCACCUUGACGGUACCUAACCAGAAAGCCACGGCUAACUACGUGCCAGCAGCCGCGGUAAUACGUAGGUGGCAAGCGUUGUC
rnacentral:rRNA from 3 species